CAAAAUGUAGCUUAACAUCUAAAGCACUCGGCUUACACCCGAAAGAUUUCUUUUAUAUGAACAUUUUGA
rnacentral:tRNA from 2 species